GUUGUGUGAGCUCUGCAAACAUGAUAAGCAUCCAGGAGCAGCAGGAGCCGUGAAACACACAAGCACCCUCAGCCACAUCAAACAGAAUUAUGAGAAGGGAGAUAUACCUGAGGAGUGAACACUGACCGUCAUUUAUGGAGCAGGUGCUGUUUCCAGAGAGCUGUGAGCAGUGCUGCCGGUGGCCUCGGUUAUUUAUACUUGCACCAAGGAAUGCCAGCGCCUUGACUGUGAGAAAUCUGGAGAAGAGGAAGGAAGGAAACCAAUAGAGAGCAUUUCAGUGGACAAAAACCAGCUGCUGACUGACACAGGUUUACAGGUCUGAAUUUGAGUCAGAAAGGCAAGAGGUGACUGUGUUUCUUUUGAUAUGACUUCAGCUGCUGUAUACACGGAAAAGGUUAUAGUUCAAGUGUAAGGAAGCUACUAACAAGAAUGAGGGGAGUGGAAGAAACGAUGGUGGAGAUCAAGAAUACAGAGGAUGGGAGGAAGACAUGAAAGCUGAGAUGUUUAAGUCACUAGAAUGACAUAUAUAUGUAUGUAUGUAUGUAUAUGUAAUGUUUCAGAGAAAUAUGAGGAGUUGAUACUGGUAGUGGGAGUGUCAGAAUGCCUUGAAGACACUCAGGGUGAAAGGAUGAUUUGAUGGGAAUGGAAGACCUACAGUUUGUAAAAAAUAGGGAAAAUAAGAAGGAAAGGCAAGAUGCUCCAGCAUUGGAGUACAAGAGGAUGAAGCUCCAUUGUGCGUCCAUGGAAGAAGAGAAAGAAAGUACUUUUAGAACUGUCAAAUUAAGGUUUUAAAAGUUUAUUUGAUAGAAACAGUGCCUGUGUGGGAAGUAACAUUCAAGGACAAAAUUUCACUGUGCCUGAAGAAGAAACUGCCUGCUGAGAAAUUUUCCCAUCUAUUAUAUGGAAUUAACACAGUGGCUUUAAUCUUGUUGUGACAUUGAACACGUGGUUUAUUAUAAAGAGGAUUGUUUUGGAAAGGCAGUCUCAAUUUUCUUGCUAGAUAAGAGAGAAAAUGUUCUCUUGGCUUCCCACUGCUAUCUGAGCAUCCAACAGAACUGAACUAGUCUAAGUGAAACCCUAAAAUAACAAGAAUAAAGCUUGUGUGAAAUCUCACAAUUUGUAUAAAAUAAAAGGAAUUUUUUUUUGAGGAAUAACUAUAUAAAAAAUGAGUAUCAUCCAG